UACGGGGGGGGCAAGCGUUGUUCGGAAUUACUGGGCGUAAAGGGCUCGUAGGUGGCCAACUAAGUCGGACGUGAAAUCCCUCAGCUUAACUGGGGAACUGCGUCCGAUACUGGAUGGCUUGAGUUUGGGAGAGGGAUGCGGAAUUCCAGGUGUAGCGGUGAAAUGCGUAGAUAUCUGGAGGAACACCGGUGGCGAAGGCGGCAUCCUGGACCAACACUGACACUGAGGAGCGAAAGCCAGGGGAGUAAACGGG
rnacentral:rRNA from 1 species